GAUUUUUAAAAAUCGUGAUUUCCGAGCGUUAAGGCGUCAUACAUCAACUGCGUGCCAUGUAAAUCAAAGACAAUAGUAAUGAUUGUUUCUGCAAUCCGGCGCUUCAAGAUAAUUUGAGUCUUUGGGACGUUCCGUAAACUGUCUGAAAUGUUUGAAGAUUCCCGCGCUUCACUGCAUGGUGUGAGAAGGAAGGGCUGAGGAGAGUAGCACAAGAUUCAUACUAUAAGAUGGCAUACUUACUACCCUUUUACAGCGAUGUGUGAAUACUAUAAUACGCCAAGAAUUUCAUUUUUCUCCGCGAGUUAGAACUGAACCAUAGCCCAAAGGUAAAGACGCAAAUAAGUUUACGACAAAGUUUGGUUUAUGGCAUUUGAAAGCAUAUGGAUUGCACUAAAAUUUGUUCGUGUUUGGUGAGUGAAUACUACUCCAAUGUUUGAACACUGACUUAAAUUAUUUUUAUUUCCAGUGUUAGAAUUAAUUCAUUGUCUAAAAUUGUUUACAAAAAGAGUUCACGUGCAAGUUUGUUCGGUUGUUAAAAUUACAGAAUCCAUUAUAAAACA